rnacentral:rRNA from 1 species
CAAGGCUUGACAUACACGAGAACGCUGCGGAAAUGUAGAACUCUUUGGACACUCGUGAACAGGUGGUGCAUGGUUGUCGUCAGCUCGUGUCGUGAGAUGUUGGGUUAAGUCCCGCAACGAGCGCAACCCUCGUUCUAUGUUGCCAGCACGUAAUGGUGGGAACUCAUGGGAUACUGCCGGGGUCAACUCGGAGGAAGGUGGGGGUGACGUCAAAUCAUCAUGCCCCUUAUGUCUUGGGCUUCACGCAUGCUACAAUGGCCGGUACAAAGGGCUGCAAUACCGUAAGGUGGAGCGAAUCCCAAAAAGCCGGUCCCAGUUCGGAUUGAGGUCUGCAACUCGACCUCAUGAAGUCGGAGUCGCUAGUAAUCGCAGAUCAGCAACGCUGCGGUGAAUACGUUCCC